UACGUAGGUGGCAAGCGUUGUCCGGAAUUACUGGGCGUAAAGCGUGCGCAGGCGGUUCGUUAAGUUCGUUGUGAAAGCCCCGGGCUCAACCUGGGAACUGCAAUGGAAACUGGCGGGCUUGAAUGCGGCAGAGGGGGGUGGAAUUCCGCGUGUAGCAGUGAAAUGCGUAGAGAUGCGGAGGAACACCGAUGGCGAAGGCAGCCCCCUGGGCCGACAUUGACGCUCAGGCACGAAAGCGUGGGGAGCAAACAGG
rnacentral:rRNA from 1 species